UCUGCCUUAUUGAUUCACCAAUAAAACCCAUGAAGGGCAAAGUGUAAAACGUUUCUUCUACUGCAGGUCAAUCAUUGAGUGCAUGAAGUUUGGUCGCUGUCGCUUUCCGUAGUUUUCCACUGACACCAGUUGUUAAUCGUGUCAGCUGUGGAUCACCGUCUGUCCACCAGGGAACGUGUACUGACGACACGGAACGGUAUGUCCUCAGGCUUUACCACCAUGAGAAUAUGCACUGCUGACGUUGAGGAUUAAAAACACUGCUGCUCAGAAAAUGAAGCCCCGAGCUCCCUGUGAAAGGCCAGAUUAAUGUAUGUGGAACAGCAGCACUCCUCCUUGGAAAGGUGUAAAAUGCAAGAUGUUUGAAGACAUUUGAAGAUCUAAUCUGAAAACAAAGACAUGGUAAGUAUUUUAGAUCAGAACUAAAAUCCUCUGAGACAUGGAUUAGGGAGAUAUUGUCUAGAAAUAAAAAUACAAUAUGAAACAUUUGUUAUUUUGUUGUACAAAGUGAAUAAAAUAUUAGUGCAUUUGUGAAA